rnacentral:tRNA from 1 species
CAGAAAAUAGUUUAAUAAAAUUUAGGUUUUGGAAAUCUAAGAUGCCUUUUUAAUAGGUUUUUCUGA